CAAGUCGAGCGAACGGACGAGAAGCUUGCUUCUCUGAUGUUAGCGGCGGACGGGUGAGUAACACGUGGAUAACCUACCUAUAAGACUGGGAUAACUUCGGGAAACCGGAGCUAAUACCGGAUAAUAUUUUGAACCGCAUGGUUCAAAAGUGAAAGACGGUCUUGCUGUCACUUAUAGAUGGAUCCGCGCUGCAUUAGCUAGUUGGUAAGGUAACGGCUUACCAAGGCAACGAUGCAUAGCCGACCUGAGAGGGUGAUCGGCCACACUGGAACUGAGACACGGUCCAGACUCCUACGGGAGGCAGCAGUAGGGAAUCUUCCGCAAUGGGCGAAAGCCUGACGGAGCAACGCCGCGUGAGUGAUGAAGGUCUUCGGAUCGUAAAACUCUGUUAUUAGGGAAGAACAUAUGUGUAAGUAACUGUGCACAUCUUGACGGUACCUAAUCAGAAAGCCACGGCUAACUACGUGCCAGCAGCCGCGGUAAUACGUAGGUGGCAAGCGUUAUCCGGAAUUAUUGGGCGUAAAGCGCGCGUAGGCGGUUUUUUAAGUCUGAUGUGAAAGCCCACGGCUCAACCGUGGAGGGUCAUUGGAAACUGGAAAACUUGAGUGCAGAAGAGGAAAGUGGAAUUCCAUGUGUAGCGGUGAAAUGCGCAGAGAUAUGGAGGAACACCAGUGGCGAAGGCGACUUUCUGGUCUGUAACUGACGCUGAUGUGCGAAAGCGUGGGGAUCAAACAGGAUUAGAUACCCUGGUAGUCCACGCCGUAAACGAUGAGUGCUAAGUGUUAGGGGGUUUCCGCCCCUUAGUGCUGCAGCUAACGCAUUAAGCACUCCGCCUGGGGAGUACGACCGCA
rnacentral:rRNA from 1 species